GAUGAACGCUGGCGGCGUGCCUAAUACAUGCAAGUCGAACGCUGGAAAUCUAGCUUGCUAGAUUGAAGGAGUGGCGAACGGGUGAGUAAUACAUAAGCAACCUACCCACGAAGACUGGGAUAAUCUCUGGAAACGGGGACUAAUACCGGAUAGGUAAUCGGAAGGCAUCUUCUGAUUAUUAAAGGUUAAAAACACUGGUGGAUGGGCUUAUGGCGCAUUAGUUAGUUGGUGAGGUAACGGCCCACCAAGACGAUGAUGCGUAGCCGGCCUGAGAGGGUGAACGGCCACAUUGGGACUGAGACACGGCCCAGACUCCUACGGGAGGCAGCAGUAGGGCAUUUUCGGCAAUGGGGGAAACCCUGACCGAGCAACGCCGCGUGAGUGAUGACGGCCUUCGGGUUGUAAAGCUCUGUUGUAAGGGAAGAACGGUAGAUAGAGAAUAUCUAAAUGACGGUACCUUACCAGAAAGCCACGGCUAACUACGUG
rnacentral:rRNA from 1 species